rnacentral:rRNA from 1 species
UGGGGAAUAUUGGACAAUGGGCGAAAGCCUGAUCCAGCCAUGCCGCGUGUGUGAAGAAGGUCUUCGGAUUGUAAAGCACUUUAAGUUGGGAGGAAGGGCAGUAAGCGAAUACCUUGCUGUUUUGACGUUACCGACAGAAUAAGCACCGGCUAACUCUGUGCCAGCAGCCGCGGUAAUACAGAGGGUGCAAGCGUUAAUCGGAAUUACUGGGCGUAAAGCGCGCGUAGGUGGUUCGUUAAGUUGAAUGUGAAAGCCCCGGGCUCAACCUGGGAACUUCAUCCAAAACUGGCGAGCUAGAGUAGGGCAGAGGGUGGUGGAAUUUCCUGUGUAGCGGUGAAAUGCGUAGAUAUAGGAAGGAACACCAGUGGCGAAGGCGACCACCUGGGCUCAUACUGACACUGAGGUGCGAAAGCGUGAGGGGCAAACAGG